CCUACGGGAGGCAGCAGUGGGGAAUUUUGGACAAUGGGCGCAAGCCUGAUCCAGCAAUGCCGCGUGCAGGAUGAAGGCCUUCGGGUUGUAAACUGCUUUUGUACGGAACGAAAAAGUCUGCCCUAAUACGGUGGGCCCAUGACGGUACCGUAAGAAUAAGCACCGGCUAACUACGUGCCAGCAGCCGCGGUAAUACGUAGGGUGCGAGCGUUAAUCGGAAUUACUGGGCGUAAAGCGUGCGCAGGCGGUUAUAUAAGACAGAUGUGAAAUCCCCGGGCUCAACCUGGGACCUGCAUUUGUGACUGUAUAGCUAGAGUACGGUAGAGGGGGAUGGAAUUCCGCGUGUAGCAGUGAAAUGCGUAGAUAUGCGGAGGAACACCGAUGGCGAAGGCAAUCCCCUGGACCUGUACUGACGCUCAUGCACGAAAGCGUGGGGAGCAAACAGGAUUAGAUACCCUGGUAGUCCACGCCCUAAACGAUGUCAACUGGUUGUUGGGUCUUCACUGACUCAGUAACGAAGCUAACGCGUGAAGUUGACCGCCUGGGGGAGGACGGUCCGGCGAGUUAGAACGUACGAAGUUAGAGUUGCGGCGNGAGAGNGCGAGGCGACGACGAGGGAGGAGG
rnacentral:rRNA from 1 species